AUCAUAUUUUGAAACCCUGGUUCCUGUACGAUCACUAAAGUUAAGCAACGUAAAACCUGAUUAGUACCUAGACGGUCGACCGCUUGGGAAUACCAGGUGAUGUAAG